GUGAGGCGGGGCUGCUGCCGGACUCCUGCCGGGCGGGGCCCGGCCGCCGGAGCAAGCGCCGCUCUCGAAGGGGGCGGAGGGCGGAUAAAUAAAGGGGUGUUGUGGUGUCAGGAGGAAUAGAGGGAUAUGGUGGAAGUCGAAAGUCACGGGCGGCGCUUAGAGGAGGUCAGCUGGAAGGGGCAUACAAGCAUCGCCUGGCCCCUCCAGGGCUGACCACAAGCCGAAGCGUGUCACCGAGGGCAUUGCCCAAACGUCCCCAGGGCACUGACAGGCACGGGGCACCACCAGGUAGCUUCUCCAGGAAGCCCGUCCCGGUGUGUGACCACCCUCAUGGCACUGACAUUUCUCCUCAUACCCAGCCUGGCGCAGCUCUGAGCCCUUCCCUCAUGUUCGAGCUCUGUUACCACCAGAAGAAAACUGCGUUUUACACCUGGGCAGAAUUCAGAGCAAAUAAAGCAGUCCACUAAAACCAAGCUUCAUCAGCUUAAAUCUAUCUGUGCUAUUAGGCUUGUGCCGGAGACAGGAGCUGUGGUAAGAAGCCCUCCUGCCGUCUUGGGGCUGACAGGGGCUUCGUGCCACCACGCUGUUAUCUCCGAGCUCCCACUUUCUGCUGCCUCCCACAUACAGAGCAAGCUCCAUCUCUGCAGUUCGCAAUAAGGUUUUUUCAGCUGUUUAACAUCAUAUCCAACCCACCCACGUGGAAAAAAUCUUCAACAGUCACAGAUAUUUUGACAAAAGAAAAAAAAAAAAGGUUGAAAAUCAGGCAGCAACAGCAGUGACAAUAGUCUGGCCUAAUCACUCCAUCCUGUUAAGCUCCUUCCAGCCGCUCAAAUAAUUGACUCUUCAAAACAAAAAGGAAACAUUUCCAUAGGCCCAGGGAGCAUUAAGCUUUCCCCAGGAUACUGAGAAAUGUAAUAAAAAUAUACUGCCUUGUCAAAAGCCUGGGUCAUUAUGUCCAAGCAAUACAGAAAAGAGUGAACUACAAACUAUUACUCCUUACCAUUUUUUGAUGUUUAUUUAUUCUCCCAGGCACUUCAGUGCAGGAAAACUGAAGUUCCCAGUAACUAACUGAAAAGUGGCUGAAGCAGCAGAAAGCUCUUUACAGUUCCAGUUUUCCUCACUGGCAGUUUCCAGUUCUCCUGGUGCCCCUGAUGUACUCUGGGCAGGCCUAAUCCUCAAUCAGUUUUGCUAUAUUCUCAAACUGCGUUUUCUGCAGAUAUUUCCGUUAGGGAGGAUUUCUAAACUUAAUGCAUUUUGUUCACACCUGAGUCCAUCAAGAUGUUCACAUUUUUGAAAGAUCGGAGUUAAAAAAAACUAACUUGUUACAUCAGUUGUAUUUGCAAUGGUGCAGUUCCUCUGAAUUACCUCAGGGUGCAUUCAUCUGCAGAAUUCAUUUAAAUAUUUUUCAUAUAAUGACCCCGGUACUCACACUACACACGCUGACAGCUUUCUCCUUGCUACAUCCGUCUCAUGUGAGUUUAGGAGUCCUCAUCCUUCAGUGGCCUGCUUAAGCCCUCUGCUGGACACUUGCUUUGUGGCUCAAAUAUUAACAAGGAUACCUCAGCCAAGUCUGUAAUCUGCAAUUUAUUUAUUUUUUUACAUCUUGUCUUUCUGUCCGCAAGGAACAGAAGACAUCUUGCCCAUCUUCCAUAUAAUAUUCAUUACAUCUCCAUGCGGUGAACUCUCAGCCAUCUGUAUACAGCAUGCCCAUGCCAUAAGCAGCUUGGGUCCAGCCGCAGUUUCAGCUAACAUGCAGGAGAGGAGUGACAGUAGUCCUACCUUGCUGUGGGCACUGGGACAUCUGCAUUGCCUUCCCCAGGGCUCCAGCACUUCCUAGCACCAAAGGACGGACACCUCAGGGAGGCGAUACAUCCUGCCCCUCCGAAACAAGUGGAAGCAAUUUGUCCCUACUGAGGUUUGUGAUUUAGGUAAGCCAUAAAGAAUUCCUCGGCGUCCAGCUGGGCUCAUGAGCACUGGCUCGGUGUUAGUUACGCUGGAAUUGGAGCGGAUCCUACAAAGACAACAGCAUAUCUCUGUGCCAUAGUGCCUUUGGGUUUGGGGAGGCGAUACCAGCUCUGCUACAGGGCAGCACAAAGCCAGGCAAAGUGGUUUAGCCAAUAGACCAAAUAUUUAUUUCAAUGGCUAGGACUGCGUGAGUAGCCUUUUCCAAGGGUGCACAAGCAAGUUGUAGUACAGCAUAGCUGCAAAGUCCCAGCCCACUGCUCCAGGUGCUGAGCUGCUUCUGUAUCAGCAGCCAAUAAUAAAAAGUGGAAGACAGAUUUUGAGCCUCUGAAUCUGCCAGAGUAGUGAUGUUUGCUACAGUCCCAACUCCCAGGGUAAGAAGACUAGAGGAACUUUUCCAUGAUUAUUUUUCGCUUUUAUCAGUAAUGUGUUGACUAGAGAAGAUGAAGCUGAACUAUUUAUUGAGCUCUUAUAAUUGCUGUAAUUUUAAAAAUUAACAAGACCGUCCUGAGAAGAGUUCUCUUUGUGAAUCAAAAUAAGUGAUUAAAUAUAGAGUGUAAUGACAUGAUAUGCCUUUCCAGAACCUCUGGUAAUCCAGAUGAAACGAAACUAUAUUGUCAUCUGUUAAAAUAACAGGAUAAUCUGCAAUCUUCUUUUCUAGACUGUAGGUUAAAUGUCAAACCCUGGGGUGUUUAAUUUCCUGCUCUGAUCAAAAAUAACCAUACAGUCCUGUCCUAUGCAUCCCAUCUUUUCAUUGUGCAGGUCACAACAAAAUUCCAUCUCUUACUACAGAGCUGUGAAGUUUGUAAUAAGCCCUCUAAAUAUUCAAAUAAAUUCAAGACAGUUCCUUUUUGCAUGCUAUUGCAGACCAAGACAGACUUUUUUGAUUCAGAAGCCAAGCCAAAGAUCUGUUAUGACAGCUAAAUGCCUGCUAGAUAUUUUGCGGCAUCUUCCAGUGUGCCUCAUAAAGAUGCAAAAUUAUCUCUUUGUGGGAAUCAACUACAAAAUGAAUAGUUUCAUAAAUGACUUAGAAAAAGCUACUGAUAAUUGGAGUUCCACGGGGUGACUCUGCCCCUGUCAAAGUCGAGUAGAGCUUUGUCCUUGAUUCAGCAGGAGUGAGAUCAGUCCUAGCAUGGGACAGUCUGCUUCAAAACCCACCUAGAAGUUUUACGUGCAGCUCUCCUCUCUGAAGUCCAGAGCCAGGCUUCAAGUCCUGCCCAUGAGCACAGAGCCGCUUAAUGCUUCUCAGUAGUUCCCACAAUAUAAACUGUACCCUGUACUUGUAUACUCGACGCUCACCGAGUGCUUUACAUGCUUGCAUUUCAAAAUGCGCCUUCAGCUACAUCAGGAUUGCCUGCCGGUCCUACAUCCCCGUUCAACGGAUGGGAAACUUGAGAAACUGAGACGUACUGCACACCCAUCAUCCAGUAAGACAGUGGCAGAGACAGGACAAUAGCUUCAAGCAUGCCUGGUUCUCAGUUCAGUGCUCUAGCCAAUAGCUCAUAUUGUUUUUGAGGUUUUGCAUAACUUUGUAUUAAUCCACGCUGUGUAAAUGUGAUGGCUUUUUAUUAAAAACUUUUCGGACAAUACCUUGUCAUCGCGUGAUAAGUUACCCACAAGACCAGUGUAAAGUAUAAGGCAAGUUUAGUGAAAUCUA